AGGGUUUUACUCUGUUGCCCAGGCUGGGGUGCAGGGGCAUGAACAUGGCUCACUGCACCCUUGACCUUCUGGGCUCAAGCGAUCCUCUUGCCUCAGGCUUCUGUUUAGCUGGGGCCACAGGCGGGCACCAAAAUGCCUGGCUAAUUUUUUUGUUUUUAUUUUGGUAGAGACGAGGUCUCACUUUGUUGCCCAUGCUGUUCUCAAACUUCUCGGCUCAAGUGAUCCUCCCACCUCGGCCUCCCAAAGUGCUGUGUUACAGGCAUAAGCCACUGCACCUGGUCUCUACUUCGUUCUUACUCUUCUUCCCGACUCUGUGAUCAGCUCUUUUUCCUCACUGACAUCUCUUAUCACCAGCAGAGGCCUACCACUAGACACCAGUGGUUCUACUUCCCUGGUUGAGCCCUGGUAGAUACGGUUCCUGAGAACUUCAUGGAGCAGUUUCUGCACCAAACCUGCCCUCUCUACCUCUGGACCUCUACGUGGAAAAGAGAAGUCCGUAUUGGAAGCCUUGACUCUGGCCCAGACAUUUCUGCUGUACCUCAUGUAGGAAGGGAAGAAAUGUCGGAGGUGGCCUUCUCAGACCCUGUGAAGUGAAAGUGUCUAUCCAUCCAAUGAAAGCGUCUACUCAGACCAAGAGGUAUUUUAGUUUCCUGACUCGAAGCAGGUGAGCCCAGGACCUGCCACACUGUGCCAGCCUCGCCCAAGCCACCCCCCAGCCAGGACGCGGUCUUUCCUGACUCAGCAGGCUGAGGCACCUGAGGCUUUCAUUUUAAUUAUGAACCACUUCAAAGCCUUUCUGGAAGCAGUCUCUGCAAUAACCAACCUGGGUUCUCUCCUAAUGUGGGGAUUGUCCUGGAGCCCAGGCCUUCCAAGGCUCCUCCGCCCGCCAACAUCACCUACCUCAUCUUCCUCUUCAGCACAUCCCCAACAUUGUCUAAGCGGUAACUCACCUGAGCAAAGCACUUGACACGGAUUCAUUCAUUUACUCCUCACAACAACCUGAUGAGAGCACUGAUUAACUUCAAAGGGGAAAAACAAUAACCUUUACAAUGGAUAGAUCUGGCAGGAACCAUGUUAACCAAGUGAUCAAAGGUAGCAUCACCAAUAAUGGGGCAAACCGACAUCCUGUGCUUCCCCAUUGAUGCGCCGAGAAGGACACAGCAUUGCUCAUGCAGCAUCCUUGUCAAAAAUGCGUAAACGGAAUCUAAUCAUGAGAAAACUGCCAGACAGCCAAACUCUUCAGAAAUGUCAAUAUAAUGAAAGGCAACAAAGAUUGAGAAUAACUUUACCAGGUUAAAGAAAACUAAAAAGAUAUGACAACUGACUGCAACGCAGAAUCCUGGACCAGACCCUGGAUCUGGUCAAAAGAAAAAUGCUUUAAACGACAGUAUUGGGACAAAGGGUAAAAUUUGAAUGUGGAUCAUGUAAUAGAUGAAUAAUAUAUUGUAUCAAUGA
ensembl:lncRNA LINC01514 long intergenic non-protein coding RNA 1514